rnacentral:tRNA from 1 species
AAGGCUUUAGCUUAAUUAAAGUGUUUGCUUUGCAUGCAGAAGAUGUGGGAUAGUAGCCCGCAAGUCUUAAC